rnacentral:rRNA from 1 species
GAUGAACGCUGGCGGCGUGCCUAAUACAUGCAAGUCGAGCGAACGGACGAGAAGCUUGCUUCUCUGAUGUUAGCGGCGGACGGGUGAGUAACACGUGGAUAACCUACCUAUAAGACUGGGAUAACUUCGGGAAACCGGAGCUAAUACCGGAUGAGAUUUUGAACCGCAUGGUUCAAAAGUGAAAGACGGUCUUGCUGUCACUUAUAGAUGGAUCCGCGCUGCAUUAGCUAGUUGGUAAGGUAACGGCUUACCAAGGCAACGAUGCAUAGCCGACGUGAGAGGGUGAUCGGCAGCCCUGGAACUGAACCACGGUCCAGGGUCCUACGGGACGCCGCAGUCGGGAAUCUUCGGCAAUGGGCGAAAGCCUGACAGAGUAACGCCGAGUGAGUGGUGGAGAUCUUGUGAUCGUAAAACUGUGUUAUUGGGGAAGAACAUAUGUGUACGUAACCGAGCACUUCUUGACGGUACCUAAUCAGAAAGCCACGGCUAACUACGUG